rnacentral:rRNA from 1 species
GUCCACGCUGUAAACGAUGGGCACUAGGUGUUCGGGGUAUUGACCCCCUGAGUGCCGCAGCUAACGCAUUAAGUGCCCCGCCUGGGGACUACGGCCGCAAGGCUAAAACUCAAAGGAAUUGACGGGGCCCGCACAAGCGGUGGAGCAUGUGGUUUAAUUCGACGCAACGCGAAGAACCUUACCUGGGCUAGACAACACCGGACAACCCCGGAAACGGGGUCUUCCCGCAAGGGACUGGUGGUUCAGGUGCUGCAUGGCUGUCGU